UCAGUUCGGGGGAUCCAAUAUUGCAACCUUAACUUGUCCAACGCAAUAACGACCUGCCUCUCUCUCGUUGCACUCCACAAGGAGUUACGCGAAUGCAGCAAGCCAAGGGGACUAUUAUGAGAGGAUGGAACUGACAAGCCAUAAGAUGAGACAUUUCCUGAAGGAUACAGCGGUCCAAUCAGUGGCCAUUCUACGCACAUCAGGACAAAGUGGAAUGGGGAUAGAAGACAUGCCUGCUGUGGACAGUCCACAAGGAACGGACUCCAUGUUUGCUGGAGUAACAUCACAUUCAGAACCAGAAUAGAGGACAAGCCUCAAUUUUUG